rnacentral:piRNA from 1 species
AGAGGCUCGUGAGAAGCUGGAGAU